rnacentral:misc_RNA from 1 species
GCUAAUGUACACAAUUCGACAGCAGAUGUAAUUUUCUAUCUAUAAUGUUUUGCUUAGCUUUUAAUUUUUAAAAGAAAAAGUAAAUAAGGCACUGAACGCAAAACCGAGGACAGUCUAAGUUGCAUGAACGUCAAACGUCCCACAAUUAACUUUUGAUUACAAUCGUGCAGUUGUAGUUAUUGAAUACAUUUCUUUAUCUAAUAAAUACUUCCUAUAACUUUUAUAAGUGCGUAUAAUAUAAUCUUUAUUUUAAUUUUUAAAAGGAUGUUUAAAAACAUAUUUACAAUAAUUCUUCUAGUGUACGUUUGUAUCACUCAUGGAGAUUGCAAUUGUCCUAAAAUUAUUAAGCGGAAUCAAUGGAGUACUACAGACUCAAAGAGUGUGAAUUAUUUAGUUAUUCCCCUUCCUUAUGUCAUAAUUCACCAUACAGUUACCCCGGAAUGUAGUACAAAAGCUGAGUGCACUUCUAGAGUCGAAAGUAUUCGUUCUUAUCACAUGGAUGUCCUUGGAUGGCAUGACAUCGGAUACUCAUUUGUAAUCGGUGGUGACGGAAAUAUUUAUGAAGGUACGGGCUGGAAUCGCGAAGGAGCUCAUACGUACGGAUAUAAUAAAAAAUCCGUCGGAAUCGCUUUCAUAGGAAAUUAUCAAGAUAAACAGGCAAGUCAGAAAAUGUUGAACGCGGCACAUCAAUUAAUCGCUUGCGGAAAAUCACAAGGAGUGCUUCGAGAUGAUGUUCGCGUACUCGGAGGCAGACAAGUUAUACAUAUAUAAAGCCGGUCCUGAUCGACGCAUCUCAGUUGCCAAUAUGCUGCGAACAAUGCACUUGCUCCUUCUUCUACUGGUGGUAGUCUUGGUGGCUGCCUCAGAAGGUCCUUCAGAACCUGUUAAUGCUGAGAUUGAUCCAGCUUUGAAUGG